AUCAGUGCAGUCAGACAUGAGCAAAGAGAAGCCAUCAGCUGCUGCUGGACCUAAUUCUGGGUCAUUCAGGAGGUCCAUGAGCUGGAGAAAAAAGAGCCUUUGAGACUCUACUCCAACUCCUUACCCAGAGAAGAAGAGUGAAGGCCUGACUAUGACAGGGCCCAGAGCCCAGGCCAGCCUCCACUUUGUCCACAGCCAGCUGUAGGAAUUCAUCCAGCUGUUGCCCUAAAAAGGAGAGGAAAUGGUGACAUAAAGGCUACACAUUUUCCCUUUAACAAUGAAGGAUGCAAAUCACUUAAGUGCAGAGCUCCCUGAGAAGCUGUUAGAAAGGGAAAAUACCAUUUUUGCCUGUGGACAAAAUGAUUGGACACCUGCAUAAGAGCCUGGUAUUCUCAUAAUACAGAGGUGCUGCCAUUUGAAAAGAGAAGGUUGUCACUAGCCCCACUGUAGGGAGUAGGAUGGCAGAACUAGAUUCUUUGUGCUCCCUUCUCUUCUUAGGUACUAUAAAGCUCUGCCCAACAGUGGUCUUGAUGCUUUUCCCACAGGCAGUCCCAGGACAGUGCUUGAGCAGUUGAAGCCCUAUUAAUGUUAUUAGCAAGCUCCUUUUAAAAAGAGAAUGAGGACUGAGCUAUAAGAUUUCACAGGUAGUUGAUUGUGGGAGGCUCCUUACAGUCUGAUCUCAGUACCUGCAGGGUGCUUGUUGAGGAGUCCUGCAAAGCACUUGGCAGCAGCGGUAGAAGAAAAGGGGCAGCUGUGGCAGCAGCUCAGUUCCAAAAGCUCCCGCAUGAGUUGGUUCAGCUGAGGGAUUUCCACCUACAGAAAACCUGGCCAUGUAAUGGACCCAGAGAACACCUGAACUCCAAGAGAACCAGUACACAGUGGCAGCAGGGACCGGGAUGGAUAAGAACUAACUCCUCUGGUGGGGGGAGUAAAAGAUCAGCUUAGCCUGUGGCAAAUUUCAACCCAAAGUCACCUGGGAUCCAUUUCCCCUUGUCAAGGUUAAAUAACGGUACUUCCCAAAUGUGCUCACUUACAUUUCGAGGCAGGGAGCAGACAAAGGCCAUAAGCAGUGCAAUCAGCCGCCUCUGCCCCGAGGCGUCAUCCUAUAAAGGAAGCAAAGCCUGAUCAAGCCUGCCAGCAAUAGGCUUGUCUGCCCCUCUACCCAUUCCAGAUUAGCCCUAAAAAAACCAGCUUGAAGGAUGUAAGUUCUAAGACCGUCACCUGGAAUGGCUGGAAUCGGCUCGGGAAGCUGUUUUCAGGCAGAAAGGAGACGUUGCCAUCCAAGAAGAGGGGCACAAUGUGUGUGACACUCUGGGCAGCUAACCUGGGGACAGAGUACUAGGUAUGACCAAGGAGCUAGGAUUCUAAAGCAGCCCUCUCCUCCACAGACAUGCUUUUCAACCUGGGGUUCAAAUUAGGAUCACCAAGUCAAUGGGACAUGCCCUGAUCAUUCAUGCAUUGAACAAAUACUAAUUUGGCACAUAUUAUGUGCCAGUAAUCAUUUCUAUUCAGGUUCCCAUCUGGGAAGUCAAGGUAUGUUUUAAAAUGCCCUACAGGUAAUUCUUAAGUCCAUCUGCAGCUAAGAACCACUGGUCCGUGGCUUCCCACCCUCAUAGUCCAUGAUGCUAAGAGCCCCUUCCUUUUGUUUUGUCAGCAUAACUUACAAGACAAUUAACUGCACCCACAUUUACAUACAGGUAAAAGGACAGCUGACAACGCAGCUACCUGUUGCUUCUUCCCAAGAAUGCUAUCCUCCCUGGGUUCAGGCCACAUCCAUGAUUAUACUUACUCAGGGCUCAGGUGGGUGGUAGCAGUGCCAAUGACAGACACCAUGGCAGCCAACACCUCAUCCUCCAACAGUACUUUUUUCAGAACUGAGGGCUCCUUCUCUGCAAAACAUACAUAUGCACACAAUCACAAGACCAUGACGGGUUCAAGAAAUGGAUGAUUGGGUUCUGUCACCAUCACUGACUCUGGGGCUUGACUCUAGCCAUGACAGCAGUUCUUAAUCUGGCCUCUGGUAGUGCUGUAGUCCUGAGAACCAGCAGGGCACUAGAAACAGGAGUGGUCUGACCUGGGGCCACAGAGCGCUCUUGAGAACUCAGCACAGUCCUUAGACUAAGCCAAUAGUGGGAAAGACGGAUAGCUCAGAUGAACAUUCUUAACGUAAGAAAUAGAAAUGUUGUCCCUGGUGUCCAUGGAGAUGCAAAGAAAAAAAAAACAGUAAUGUUGGUUUCUGAAAAAAUUAAAAACAUGCAUUUAUCUUCA